UUUUAAAUUUAUUUUUUAUGGAGAUGGGGUCUUGCUGUACUGCCCAGGCUGGUCUCAAACUCCUGGCCUCAAGGAAUCCUCUCGCCUUGGCCUCACAAAGCACUGGGCAACUGUGUCUGGCCUAACAGUAGAGUUCUUGACCCAGGUAUGGGGGGAUGGAGGAGCUGUUUAUGGGUGGCCCCGCCUCUCAGUGCAUGGCUGGAGUGACAGUACUGGAAUACUGGGGCUGUGAACUGGGUGUUUUCUUUUCUUUUUUUCUUCUUUUUUUUUUUUAUUGAGACAGAGUCUCACAGCUGUCACCCAGGCUGGAGUGCAGUGGAGCGAUCUCAGCUCACUGCAACAACCUCUGCCUCCUGGGUUCAAGUGAUUCUCCUGCCUCAGCCUUCCGAGGACUGGGUGCUUUAUCCCAGAGCCAACAAGGGAGGAAACUGAGGCCCAGGGAGCUGGGUAUCCCACGUGCAGGCUCUUACCUCAGGUCCAUGCUUCAGGUGCCUCCUUUGUGGCUCACCCCUGCUGACUCCUUACAAAGCCAGGCCAUUGGCAGGCACAGGAACCAGGCUUUGAAACCCCGUGCUCCCCUGCCAGUGGCUCAGUUGAUGUAAUCACCCUGCAGUGGGAGUGCUCUUUGAGUGCGGCCACUGCGCCCCCUCCUGACCCGCAUGGCCCUGUAUGUAGUGCCGCCGGCCCCUACCCCAUGGGGCACACAUUCUGAAUCACAGGCUGCUCAUUAGAAAUGUACCGUCACCAACCCAGUUCCCCUGAGACCCUCCACACCAGCAGGACAAAUCCCCCAGUCAGCAAGAUGUGUCUUCUGCCAGAAUGUGCUCGGCAUUUUUCUGUGCUGUAGAUUCAUAUGUGUGAUUUUGCAGGGAAGCCAGAUUACUUUUUUGCAAUUUGCUUUGUUCACCUGCCAAUAGUCAUGGGGUCACGGGCCUGUCUCUGCCCAAGGCUUGCAAGAGGCUACGUUGUGUGGCUCCAACUCAGUGACUCAGCCCCGGGGCAGGACGUCAGGCCUGUGCUCUCCACCCAGCUGCGCUCUUCCACCUGGAGCCUUCCUGGCUGCUGGGCGCAGAGUGGGAGAUUCUCCCCAUGUGCCGGGCCACCUGCUGCCCCCUGCCCUGAUUGCCCAUUCUGGGGCCCGCAGAUCCGUUGGAAGUACAUGAUUGUGGACGAAGGUCACCGCAUGAAGAACCACCACUGCAAGCUGACGCAGGUGCUCAACACGCACUAUGUGGCACCCCGCCGCCUGCUGCUGACGGGCACACCGCUGCAGAACAAGCUUCCCGAGCUCUGGGCGCUGCUCAACUUCCUGCUGCCCACCAUCUUCAAGAGCUGCAGCACCUUCGAGCAGUGGUUUAACGCACCCUUUGCCAUGACCGGGGAAAAGGUGGACCUGAAUGAGGAGGAAACCAUUCUCAUCAUCCGGCGUCUCCACAAAGUGCUGCGGCCCUUCUUGCUCCGACGACUCAAGAAGGAAGUCGAGGCCCAGUUGCCCGAAAAGGUGGAGUACGUCAUCAAGUGCGACAUGUCGGCGCUGCAGCGAGUGCUCUACCGCCACAUGCAGGCCAAGGGCGUGCUGCUGACUGAUGGCUCCGAGAAGGACAAGAAGGGCAAAGGCGGCACCAAGACCCUGAUGAACACCAUCAUGCAGCUGCGGAAGAUCUGCAACCACCCCUACAUGUUCCAGCACAUCGAGGAGUCCUUUUCUGAGCACUUGGGGUUCACUGGCGGCAUUGUCCAAGGGCUGGACCUGUACCGAGCCUCGGGUAAAUUUGAGCUUCUUGAUAGAAUUCUUCCCAAACUCCGAGCAACCAACCACAAAGUGCUGCUGUUCUGCCAAAUGACCUCCCUCAUGACCAUCAUGGAAGAUUACUUUGCGUAUCGCGGCUUUAAAUACCUCAGGCUUGAUGGAACCACGAAGGCGGAGGACCGGGGCAUGCUGCUGAAAACCUUCAACGAGCCCGGCUCCGAGUACUUCAUCUUCCUGCUCAGCACCCGGGCUGGGGGGCUCGGCCUGAACCUCCAGUCUGCAGACACUGUGAUCAUUUUCGACAGCGACUGGAAUCCUCACCAGGACCUGCAAGCGCAGGACCGAGCCCACCGCAUCGGGCAGCAGAACGAGGUGCGUGUGCUCCGCCUCUGCACCGUCAACAGCGUGGAGGAGAAGAUCCUAGCUGCAGCCAAGUACAAGCUCAACGUGGACCAGAAGGUGAUCCAGGCCGGCAUGUUCGACCAGAAGUCCUCCAGCCACGAGCGGCGCGCCUUCCUGCAGGCCAUCCUGGAGCACGAGGAGCAGGACGAGGAGGAAGACGAGGUGCCCGACGACGAGACCGUCAACCAGAUGAUCGCCCGGCACGAGGAGGAGUUUGAUCUGUUCAUGCGCAUGGACCUGGACCGCAGGCGUGAGGAGGCCCGCAACCCCAAGCGCAAGCCGCGCCUCAUGGAGGAGGACGAGCUCCCCUCGUGGAUCAUCAAGGACGACGCGGAGGUGGAGCGGCUGACCUGUGAGGAGGAGGAGGAGAAGAUGUUCGGCCGUGGCUCCCGCCACCGCAAGGAGGUGGACUACAGCGACUCACUGACGGAGAAGCAGUGGCUCAAGACCCUGAAGGCCAUCGAGGAGGGCACGCUGGAGGAGAUCGAAGAGGAGGUCCGGCAGAAGAAAUCAUCACGGAAGCGCAAGCGAGACAGCGACGCCGGCUCCUCCACCCCGACCACCAGCACCCGCAGCCGCGACAAGGACGACGAGAGCAAGAAGCAGAAGAAGCGCGGGCGGCCGCCUGCCGAGAAACUCUCCCCUAACCCACCCAACCUCACCAAGAAGAUGAAGAAGAUUGUGGAUGCCGUGAUCAAGUACAAGGACAGCAGCAGUGGACGUCAGCUCAGCGAGGUCUUCAUCCAGCUGCCCUCACGAAAGGAGCUGCCCGAGUACUACGAGCUCAUCCGCAAGCCCGUGGACUUCAAGAAGAUAAAGGAGCGCAUUCGCAACCACAAGUACCGCAGCCUCAACGACCUAGAGAAGGACGUCAUGCUCCUGUGCCAGAACGCACAGACCUUCAACCUGGAGGGCUCCCUGAUCUAUGAAGACUCCAUCGUCUUGCAGUCGGUCUUCACCAGCGUGCGGCAGAAAAUCGAGAAGGAGGAUGACAGUGAAGGCGAGGAGAGUGAGGAGGAGGAAGAGGGCGAGGAGGAAGGCUCCGAAUCCGAAUCUCGGUCCGUCAAAGUGAAGAUCAAGCUUGGCCGGAAGGAGAAGGCACAGGACCGGCUGAAGGGCGGCCGGCGGCGGCCGAGCCGAGGGUCCCGAGCCAAGCCGGUCGUGAGUGAUGACGACAGUGAGGAGGAACAAGAGGAGGACCGCUCAGGAAGUGGCAGCGAAGAAGACUGAGCCCCGACAUUCCAGUCUCGACCCCGAGCCCCUCGUUCCAGAGCCGAGACGGCAUAGGCCUUAGCAGUAACGGGUAGCAGCAGACGUAGUUUCAGACUUGGAGUAAAACUGUAUAAACAAAAGAAUCUUCCAUAUUUAUACAGCAGAGAAGCUGUAGGACUGUUUGUGACUGGCCCUGUCCUGGCAUCAGUAGCAUCUGUAACAGCAUUAACUGUCUUAAAGAGAGAGAGAGAGAAUUCCGAAUUGGGGAACACACGAUACCUGUUUUUCUUUUCCGUUGCUGGCAGUACUGUUGCGCCGCAGUUUGGAGUCACUGUAGUUAAGUGUGGAUGCAUGUGCGUCACCGUCCACUCCUCGUACUGUAUUUUAUUGGACAGGUCAGACUCGCCGGGGGCCCGGCGAGGGUAUGUCAGUGUCACUGGAUGUCAAACAGUAAUAAAUUAAACCAACAACAAAAUGC
rnacentral:sRNA from 1 species